rnacentral:snoRNA from 1 species
UUCUCUGAUGGAUUCAAAUAAAAACUUUCGUUCUUCCGAGGAUGGUAUCCGUCCAUCCAUGCGGAAACGAUUAUUGGAGACCUGAACUGAAGAGGC